rnacentral:tRNA from 1 species
GGAUUGUGGCUCAGUGGUACAGAGCUUGCCUAGCAUGCAUGAGGCACUGGGUUCAAUCCCUGGCACCA